rnacentral:lncRNA from 1 species
CUGGUGUUCAUAAUAAGGGCACAAUCGGGGUUCCCAACGACUUAGAUCGACAGAAAGAAACCCUGUCUCUGUCCACCAGUAGAUACCCCCAAAACAGCACUGGCCUUCUUCUGGAAGGAUGACCCCGGUCAGGGCAGCCCUCCCCUCCGCUCAUGCGUGGCAGCGUGUGGGGCGCCCAAAGGAUGCUGUGGACCCUGGGGGCGCUGGGCAGGCUGCAGGCUCCCUGGAAGGAAAGGAGGCGAGUCCAGCCACAGUUAAGUGGAUUGGUGAGAUUUUAAUAGAAGCGGUGGACAACACAGAGGUGAUGUCUCCGGGUAGUCAGUGAAUCACUGCCAGCGGACAAUGAUAACACGCCCUUAGGUUUCCAACCUUACAGGUGUCAGAGCAGUUUCACAUCCUUUACCUCUUCUAAUUAAAACAACAACCCAGCAAAGUGGGCAGAGGAGAACUCAUUAUCGUCUUUGCAAAGAAAGAAUUGAAGUAGCUCACGGAUCCCACUGAGUAGAACCACCAGGAACUGGAAGUGCAGCCCCUGAGCCCCGUGAACUGGCCUGGGUGCAAGGGGGGUGCCCAUGAACACAGGUGAAUGGGAAGACUGCCCCUGGGCUGGACCCCAAGUGUCCAAGUGUGGAUCUCCAAGUAUGGCAGCCUGGGGGAGGAAGGAUGCUCCUCGCAGGGCAUUUCUCCAUGUGUUCUAGAACUCCCUGCCUCAGGAGGACAGCUGUCCUCCUACCUGGCACACUCAUUAAUGAUGUACAUCUACAGACUGGAGUGGGGCCUAGCAACCUGUAUUUCAAGAUGCUCCCAGGUGACUCCAAGGGUCCAUCGUGUUUGAAUACUAACGCCGCAGAGGGCCCUUUGCCGCAUGACAUGGGUAUCAGGUUACUUGACUGGUCAGUCCUGGAAGGUGCUGUUGCGUCGACCUUCACCCCCAUCCAGAAGACAUCCUCCGACGCCUCCACACGGCUUGCGCGUCCUCCCUGGAACGCUGGCUCAGAAGCUCUUCUUCUGUCUUCAAACCAUGUGGGAGCCGGAGGAAACCAGCUGUGGCCCCUUGGCACUUCCCGGUAGACAGAGG